rnacentral:misc_RNA from 1 species
GACGCGCAUUUGCAACUAACAAUAAAUGUACCAUUCUCUCUUACACCUUCCAUUCGUAAUAUCGUGUAUCGUUCGAUCUGUUUGGUUGAUCGCGUACCAACUGUAAUAUUGGAAUGUUCUCGUAGAUAUCGGGUGACGCAAGAAUCGUAGUUAUAUCGUUCAAAAAUGAAAGUGUGAUAAUAGAACUGGUUCUGUUUAACCUUACGUGUGAGAUUUAAAUACCUUUCAUAACUGAUAGAAAUGAAUUUCUAAAACAUCGUUCUUCAAAUGCAUAAUUGAAGGGGCUACUGUAAUAAGAAGAUCCACGGACCGUGCAGCGAAAGGGGUGGCAGUCGGGGGUGGAAGAGCCGCACAAAUCUUCCUUUCGUGGACAAGCUGAAGAGUCUCUUCGACCUGCUUCUUCCCAACCAACCUCUUGUCUCCUUCUUCUUCUUCUUCUUCUUCCUUUCUUUCUUCUUCUUCGUUCGUUCUCUUCCGCCUUCGGUCCGCGAACGUAAUAUCCUGCCCCCAGCCGCUGCCUCGAACCUUCUAACACGAAGAGAUUCGUGUCCCCUUCUGCGGAGAAUCAGCUAGCUCUCGAGUUUCGUCCGCGCACCCCUUCCAACCUAGUUCUCGUUCCUCAGAGUGUCACUAAUGCCGCGAGGAUUAAUGCUACGCGGCGGGGCUUACGGCCACUAUUAAUUUCAUCGGGAGAACAAUAUCUUAUGUGGCUGGGUAUCGGGUGCAUGUUUCUAGAGCGCUUCCUGGAUACCUGGCACACCUCUUGACGAUCUAAUGCGCGGUUAGCUGGAAAAGAGAUCCUAUCCACGUUACAAGAGACCUAAAAUCCAUUUUAGGUUAGGUUUGCCACAGGAAAUUAUUAAAUUUAAUUCUAAAUGGCUACGUACUUGUGAAUUGCGUUUUUCUGUUUGAUUUUUAUUAACUGGAA